rnacentral:lncRNA from 1 species
CUGUCUUGUUCUGUUGGGGUUUUGAAUCGAAAAUGUGCUACUCCUGUGUUCCGUUGGUUUGUGCUUUCUAUCGCCACCACCGUGAAUUAACCUUGGACCCCUGCCUUCUGCCUAGCCGAGCUGGUGUGUUUUUGUGGGGCCAGUGACCGUCCCUUGGCAAGCCCCCUUGCUUGCAAACUGUCCUUAUGGGGCACCAUGCAGCUGCCGCAGAGAGCAUCUUCCUGUUUCUCAGCCUAUCAUUCCAUUGGCUCUGCCUGAGCUGCAGCAAAGGCAAGACAUCACAGGGGGCCUCCUUACCAGAGUGGGGUGCCUCAAUCCAGGCACACAAAGAACAACAGGGAAGCCAGAUGCCUUUGCCAGGCAACCUGAGAAAACUGAGAUCAAGAGUUCAAGGUCACAGAACUGGUACAAGGCAGAACUAGCCCCCGGAACCAGGUCUUCUAAUUCCAGAUCCAGAAGUCUUACUCCUUCUCUCUCCUCACCCCACCCCCACCACCCAGUACUACUGGUGUUAUAAAGGAAAGACAUUGGUCAGCUGCAAAGUAUUUUUAUCACUGUGAGCUUUUAUUAUAAAGGAACUCUUAU